UGGCAGGGGCGGGUGCUAUAAUGCAGUCGACGCUUUGUGGUUCAACUGAUUUGAAGAGCUUGCUCAGAUAUGACGAUGGACAUUGCAAAGAGUGGCGAACGGGUGAGUAACACGUGGGAAACCUACCUCUUAGCAGGGGAUAACAUUUGGAAACAGAUGCUAAUACCGUAUAACAAUGACAACCGCAUGGUUGUUAUUUAAAAGAUGGUUCUGCUAUCACUAAGAGAUGGUCCCGCGGUGCAUUAGCUAGUUGGUAAGGUAAUGGCUUACCAAGGCGAUGAUGCAUAGCCGAGUUGAGAGACUGAUCGGCCACAAUGGGACUGAGACACGGCCCAUACUCCUACGGGAGGCAGCAGUAGGGAAUCUUCCACAAUGGGCGAAAGCCUGAUGGAGCAACGCCGCGUGUGUGAUGAAGGGUUUCGGCUCGUAAAACACUGUUGUAAGAGAAGAAUGACAUUGAGAGUAACUGUUCAAUGUGUGACGGUAUCUUACCAGAAAGGAACGGCUAAAUACGUGCCAGCAGCCGCGGUAAUACGUAUGUUCCAAGCGUUAUCCGGAUUUAUUGGGCGUAAAGCGAGCGCAGACGGUUAUUUAAGUCUGAAGUGAAAGCCCUCAGCUCAACUGAGGAAUUGCUUUGGAAACUGGAUGACUUGAGUGCAGUAGAGGAAAGUGGAACUCCAUGUGUAGCGGUGAAAUGCGUAGAUAUAUGGAAGAACACCAGUGGCGAAGGCGGCUUUCUGGACUGUAACUGACGUUGAGGCUCGAAAGUGUGGGUAGCAAACAGGAUUAGAUACCCUGGUAGUCCACACCGUAAACGAUGAGUGCUAGGUGUUUGAGGGUUUCCGCCCUUAAGUGCCGCAGCUAACGCAUUAAGCACUCCGCCUGGGGAGUACGACCGCAAGGUUGAAACUCAAAGGAAUUGACGGGGACCCGCACAAGCGGUGGAGCAUGUGGUUUAAUUCGAAGCAACGCGAAGAACCUUACCAGGUCUUGACAUCCCUUGACAACUCCAGAGAUGGAGCGUUCCCUUCGGGGACAAGGUGACAGGUGGUGCAUGGUUGUCGUCAGCUCGUGUCGUGAGAUGUUGGGUUAAGUCCCGCAACGAGCGCAACCCUUAUUACUAGUUGCCAGCAUUCAGUUGGGCACUCUAGUGAGACUGCCGGUGACAAACCGGAGGAAGGUGGGGAUGACGUCAAAUCAUCAUGCCCCUUAUGACCUGGGCUACACACGUGCUACAAUGGCGUAUACAACGAGUUGCCAACCCGCGAGGGUGAGCUAAUCUCUUAAAGUACGUCUCAGUUCGGAUUGUAGGCUGCAACUCGCCUACAUGAAGUCGGAAUCGCUAGUAAUCGCGGAUCAGCACGCCGCGGUGAAUACGUUCCCGGGUCUUGUACACACCGCCCGUCACACCAUGAGAGUUUGUAACACCCAAAGCCGGUGGGGUAACCUUCGGGAGCCAGCCGUCUAAGGUGACAGAGAUGG
rnacentral:rRNA from 1 species